AUUUAUCUUUGCUUCAUGAGCAUACAAGUGGUACCUUUUUGAAGGAGAUAUCCAACAAAAAUCUCGGAUACUGCAAAAGAUGAAAACAUUUGGAUAUGAUGGAACAUGAUGGUGCAAACGUCAUAUGGCCGAUAUGAAACCCUGUCAAAAUAUAAUUAAUAAAAAUGUGUUGGUAUAAUAUUGUACUUUUUUAAAUUUAUCUAAUUCAUUUUAGGGUAUCCUGUAAAUAUGCUAGUUAUACUCACAAGAAAAAUUUUGACCGGAGGUGGACUGAUUAUUUAGAAACAAGUAAUAUUUAGGAGUAUGC